rnacentral:tRNA from 1 species
GCUGUGAUGGCUGAGUGGUUAAGGUGUUGGACUUGAACUCCAAUAGGGUUUCCCUAUGUAGGUUCAAAUCCUGCUCACAGUG